CAAUAGCGUAUAUUUAAGUUGUUGCAGUUAAAACGCUCGUAGUGUGACUUCGGUCUAGCUCCGUAGGUCUGCCAGUCCGUCUGGUGUGCACUUGCGGGGUUUGGCUAACAGUCGAGAGCGCAUUGCACUUGAUUGUGUGUCGGCCUCGGUGCAGAUACUUUGAGUAAAGGUUCGUGUUCUAAGCAAGCGGUUCGCUUGAUACUUGCAGCAUGGGAUAUCGAGACAGGACUUGGAUCCUAUCUUGUUGGUUCUCGGGAUCCAAGUAAUGGUUAACAGGAAUAGUUGGGGGCACUCGAAUUUGGCAGCUAGAGGUGAAAUUCUUGGAUUUGCCAACGACGAACUACUGCGAAAGCAUUUGCCAAGGAUGUUUUCAUUAA
rnacentral:rRNA from 1 species